rnacentral:rRNA from 1 species
CCUACGGGAGGCAGCAGUGAGGAAUAUUGGUCAAUGGGCGCGAGCCUGAACCAGCCAAGUCGCGUGAGGGAAGACGGUCCUAUGGAUUGUAAACCUCUUUUGUCGGGGAGCAAAAGACGCCAUGCGUGGCGUUCCGAGCGUACCCGACGAAAUAGCAUCGGCGAAGUCCGUGCCAGCAGCCGCGGGAAUACGGGGGAUGCGAGCGUUAUCCGGAUGUAUUGGGUUUAAAGGGUGCGAAGGCGGAAGAUCAAGUCAGCGGUAAAAUUGAGAGGCUCAACCUCGUCGAGCCGUUGAAACUGGUUGUCUUGAGUGAGUGAGAAGUAAGCGGAAUGCGUGGUGUAGCGGUGAAAUGCAUAGAUAUCACGCAGAACUCCGAUUGCGAAGGCAGCAUACCGGCGCUCAACUGACGCUCAUGCACGAAAGUGUGGGUAUCGAACAGGAUUAGAUACCCGAGUAGUC